UGGGCCGCCGCCGGGACGCGCGGGUUUUUUUUCCCUCCCCGCCGCGGGGUUAACGGCAUGCGGGGGGGCGAGUGGAAUCUGCCCGCUGCAUUUACCUUAGAGCAAACUGUUUCUAAACAAGAUGGACCUAUAGGGGGAUCCGCCAUGUGAAUCCACACCACGCGGGGUGGUGGGAGCCUCUAGCACGGUGCCAGACGACUCACUGAAGAAGGAGGAUUUAAAUAUAUAUAUAUAUAUAUAUCUCAAACCCUUAACAAAAAAAAAAAAAGUAAUGCGGAUUUUUUUUUCACCCUUAUGAUUCGGGAUCCAUCUUUGUCUUGUGUAACUAGGUCAUGGCACACCCUAUGUCAGCAGUUAACAAUUUCGAAUGCCAACAAAAAAAGAGUAAAUACAUUAUUUUUAUAUUUUUUUCGUUGUUUUGGGGGUUUUUAAGCUUUGAGCAGCUCUGAUGACUGAACAAUAAAUUUGAGAGACUUC